UAUACCUCGGUUCUGUCUACUCUCUUCUUCUCAAUAAGGUUUUCUCGAAUUCAUCUUUACAAUCGAAUUUCUCUCAAGAAAAACUGUAAAUCAGCUUCAGAUUCUAUUCCAAUUCCAAUGUCUCAUCCCAGCAAAAAUGCUGCUGGAGUUGACAACACUUUUCGGAGGAAGUUCGAUAGAGAAGAGUAUUUGGAACGUGCUCGUGAGUGCGAACAAAAGGAGACAAAAUCUCGGUAUUAAUCCAAAUGUAA